rnacentral:lncRNA from 1 species
CAGGGUCAGAAGGGAGGUGGUCGCCCUCCGUCGUGGUCUGGCGUGUAUUCCGAGCGUUGGUGUCUGGCGGUUUCCGAGCGUUGGUGUCUGGCGGUUUCUGACCGUUGGUGUCUGGCGGUUUCCGACCGUUGGUGUCUGGCACGCGCCACCCUCUCUUGCUUUGGUUGCGCCAUGCCGAUGUACCAGACAAGAAGACAAGAAAAUGAUUUGAGGACAGCUUCAAUCGCGGUGUGAAGAAGAAAGCAGCAAAACGACCACUGAAAACAACGCCGGUGGCAAAAUAUCCAAAGAAAGGGUCCCAAGCGGUACAUCGUCAUAGCCGGAAACAGUCAGAGCCACCAGCCAAUGAUAUUUUCAAUGCUGCGAAAGCUGCCAAAAGUGACAUGCAGCACCGAGAAGUCCGCGUGAAGUGCGUGAAGGCUCUGAAAGGGCUGUACGGUAACCGGGACCUGACCGCACGCCUUCACUGGCCGCUUCAAGGACUGGAUGGUUUCCAUGAUCGUGGACAGAGAGUACAGUGUGGCAGUGGAGGCCGUCAGAUUACUGAUACUUAUCCUUAAACUUUUCUACCCUGAGUGCGAGAUAAGAACGAUGGGUGGAAGAGAGCAACGCCAGAGCCCAGGCGCCCAGAGGACUUUCUUCCAGCUUCUGCUGUCCUUCUUUGUGGAGAGCAAGAGACGGAAUUUCACCAUGGUGGCCAUGACUGGUCCCCAACUCCUGACCUCAGGUGAUCUGCCCGCCUCCACCUCCCAAAGUGCUGAGAUUACAGGCCUGAGCCACCGCGCCCAGCCAUGGCAUCUGUUUUACCAGAAGAGAUCAACACACCCUCUGAAACAUGAUACAGGACACUGAUCUGG